GUGCGGCCACUCACGCGCCACCUGGGACGCCAGGCCAACCCUGCUUCCUGUCCCCACUCCCCAGGAAUGAGGUGAUCAUGUCACACACACUGAAAUUCAAUAAACUGAAACAAUCAGAGGAAGUGUGGAGCUUUCUCCACAGAGGCAGCGAAACGGGACCCUGCUUAUCAAAGUGACAAGAUUUGUUCAGUUGCUACAAACUUCCAAAGACUUCCUUUCCCAAAAGAAAGGCCGGGAGAAAGCAGAAGGAAAAUAGAUUGAAAAACAUACACAUCAGACAUACCACCCAGGGAAGGAGAGAAACUAUGAAUGGAUUCAGAUCAUACACGCAAAGGAGCCGAGAAACCAGCUUAGAUCUGUGACAGUGCCAUGUACAGUGUGUGCCAUGAAGACACCGAAAUGUGUGAGAGUGAAGAUAUAAUAGGAAAUUCAGACAUUUCUCUUCUUGAAGAAAAGCAGAAAUAACCCGUCAGUGCCAGAGGAAGAAGCACGGAAGCCGCAGCGGACGGCGGGACACAAAUGGCUUCGUGAGUCUCUCGGUUCUUCGGCUCUGAUGAAAUUCCACCCAUAAGUGACAGAACUGUGCAGGUGAAGAGCUCUGCAAAAUGGCCUUUCUCCAAGCAGUCAUGCUGGGACCCACAUCUUCAACAAGUCUCCGUUUCUGCUGGCCCUGAUGGGACAGCUGAUGAUGGGGGACAGCUUCAUCUAUGGGCAGGUGUGGAAGGGGUACAAAUCACCUCAGCUCAUAUUCUAGCAUUAGAACUCAGUCACCUGGCCAUGCCUAACUUAAAGAAACAUGGCAAAUGUAAACUGCGGUGUGUGCAGGAAGAAGAGGAAAUCAUUUUGGUGAACUGCCAUCAGUCUUUGCCUCAUCAGUCACCACCAUCCUGCAAAUGGGUCAAAAACUACCGGAACCUGUACUGGAAUAAUAAUAACAGUUGUUGGGUUCUUAUUAUGUGCCAGGGCUGUUCAGAG